rnacentral:tRNA from 1 species
GGGCCGUUAGCUCAGUUGGUAGAGCAGCGGACUUUUAAUCCGUUGGUCACUGGUUCGAAUCCAGUACGGCCUA